rnacentral:rRNA from 1 species
AUUGAACGCUGGCGGCAGGCCUAACACAUGCAAGUCGAACGAGUGGCGGACGGGUGAGUAAUGUCUGGGAAACUGCCUGAUGGAGGGGGAUAACUACUGGAAACGGUAGCUAAUACCGCAUACCAUCGGAUGUGCCCAGAUGGGAUUAGCUAGUAGGUGGGGUAACGGCUCACCUAGGCGACGAUCCCUAGCUGGUCCGAGAGGAUGACCAGCCAAACUGGAACGGGGACACGGUCCAGACUCCUACGGAGGGCAGAAGUGGGGAUUAUUGCACAAUGGGCGCAAGCCUGAGGCAGCCAUGCCGCGGGUAGGAAGAAGGCCUUCGGGUUGUAAAGUACUUUCAGCGGGGAGGCGUUACCCGCAGAAGAAGCACCGGCUAACUCCGUGCCAGCCGCCGCGGUAAUAC